rnacentral:rRNA from 1 species
GAUGAACGCUAGCGGCAGGCUUAAUACAUGCAAGUCGAGGGGCAGCACAGAUAGCAAUAUUGGGUGGCGACCGGCAAACGGGUGCGGAACACGUACACAACCUUCCUUUUAGUGUGGGAUAGCCCAGAGAAAUUUGGAUUAAUACCACAUAGUAUAUUGGAGUGGCAUCACUUUGAUAUUAAAGAUUUAUCGCUAAAAGAUGGGUGUGCGUAUGAUUAGGUAGUUGGUAGAGGUAACGGCUCACCAAGCCUUCGAUCAUUAACUGGUUUGAGAGCACGACCAAACACACGGGCACUGAGACACGGGCCCGACUCCUGCGGGAGGCAGCAGUAAGGAAUAUUGGUCAAUGGACGGAAGUCUGAACCAGCCAUGCCGCGUGAAGGAUGACGGCCCUCUGGGUUGUAAACUUCUUUUAUGUGGGACGAAAAAGGGCCAUUUUUGGUCAACUGACGGUACCAUAGGAAUAAGCACCGGCUAACUCCGUGCCAGCCGCCGCGGUAA